rnacentral:rRNA from 1 species
GACGAACGCUGGCGGCGUGCUUAACACAUGCAAGUCGAACGGAAAGGCCCUGCUUUUGUGGGGUGCUCGAGUGGCGAGCGGGUGAGUAACACGUGAGUAACCUGCCCUUGACUUUGGGAUAACUUCAGGAAACUGGGGCUAAUACCGGAUAGGAGCUCCUGCUGCAUGGUGGGGGUUGGAAAGUUUCGGCGGUUGGGGAUGGACUCGCGGCUUAUCAGCUUGUUGGUGGGGUAGUGGCUUACCAAGGCUUUGACGGGUAGCCGGCCUGAGAGGGUGACCGGCCACAUUGGGACUGAGAGACGGCCCAGACUCCUACGGGAGGCAGCAGUGGGGAAUAUUGCACAAUGGGCGGAAGCCUGAUGCAGCAACGCCGCGUGCGGGAUGACGGCCUUCGGGUUGUAAACCGCUUUCGCCUGUGACGAAGCGUGAGUGACGGUAAUGGGUAAAGAAGCACCGGCUAACUACGU